UGCAAGUCGAACGGACCCUUCGGGGUUAGUGGCGGACGGGUGAGUAACACGUGGGAACGUGCCUUUAGGUUCGGAAUAGCUCCUGGAAACGGGUGGUAAUGCCGAAUGUGCCCUUCGGGGGAAAGAUUUAUCGCCUUUAGAGCGGCCCGCGUCUGAUUAGCUAGUUGGUAAGGUAAAAGCUUACCAAGGCGACGAUCAGUAGCUGGUCUGAGAGGAUGACCAGCCACAUUGGGACUGAGACACGGCCCAAACUCCUACGGGAGGCAGCAGUGGGGAAUCUUGCGCAAUGGGCGAAAGCCUGACGCAGCCAUGCCGCGUGAAUGAUGAAGGUCUUAGGAUUGUAAAAUUCUUUCACCGGGGACGAUAAUGACGGUACCCGGAGAAGAAGCCCCGGCUAACUUCGUGCCAGCAGCCGCGGUAAUACGAAGGGGGCUAGCGUUGCUCGGAAUUACUGGGCGUAAAGGGCGCGUAGGCGGAUCGUUAAGUCAGAGGUGAAAUCCCGGAGCUCAACUUCGGAACUGCCUUUGAUACUGGCGAUCUUGAGUAUGAGAGAGGUAUGUGGAACUCCGAGUGUAGAGGUGAAAUUCGUAGAUAUUCGGAAGAACACCAGUGGCGAAGGCGACAUACUGGCUCAUUACUGACGCUGAGGCGCGAAAGCGUGGGGAGCAAACAGGAUUAGAUACCCUGGUAGUCCACGCCGUAAACGAUGAUUGCUAGUUGUCGGGCUGCAUGCAGUUCGGUGACGCAGCU
rnacentral:rRNA from 1 species